CUGAUGACCUAAGCAAGGUUUGUCUGUUUGCUUGUUUGUAGACAGGGUCUCCCUGGAGCCCAAGCUGGCCUCAAGCUCAGAUUUGUUCUGUCUCCUGAGAGCUGGAGCUACAAGUGAGAUCCAUUUUCUCCAGGAUAUAUGCUACAUUAACGUUACUGCUAGUUUCUGGACUAUUUCGAAAUCAAUUCAGCAGAAACUACAAAGGAAUAAACCUGUUGUGCGUGGCUCGUUUGAAAACUCAACCGUAAGGUGCCUCCCACCAUUUUAGGAAGAGUGGUAUCAAUCGGUAGUUCCUGAAGGCUGUGGCUCAAAUCCUCUGUGGUUCAUCUGGAUGGAUGUUCAAGGCUCCCACCUUCCCUCACAAGUAACUGAACAACUAUGCUCCCCCGCCAUACUUCAACAUCUUUGUAGGUCUUAUCAGCUGUCAGGUCCAAGAAGGUGACGAGGAGGAGCCCUAGCUUCCUGAAGGAGAAGCAGGCCUUCUAAACUCACCAACGGACAACCUUUCAGUCUCCGGAGACGUGAAUGGAAAUGCCUUGUAAAAUUAACACUAUUUCCCACUCAUACAGAAACCUCAUUUUCAAAAUUAUUACAUUAUCUAAAGGAAAAACUGAUAAAUACUAAUAAAAAACAAUAUCUGUGUUAUUGGACAUUUAAAUAAAGGAGAUGGACUACAA